GAUUUGUGUGUGUUACUUCUCAAACAUAAUUGGUAUCCAAAAUUUUGAUUUGGCAUUUUGUUUUUCACUUAGCAUAUUUUUAGCACAUUUUCUUAUGUUUGCCAAAUUUGAAAUUAUGUUAAACCUACUCAUUUGAAACAUUCCAAGACACUAUGAAGAGGAAUAUACUUUUUGCUUUUAUUUGUAGACCUUUUGAAAAUAGGAAAGAAUUAAAAAAAGAACUAUGGCAUUACAGAGAGAAAAAACUUUACCAAGCACAAGAUGAAUGAAAUAGUUAUAUAGAUCUACCAAUACCUUACAUAAACAAAGGAGGAAUAACAACAAGCAAGGGAGGAGCCGUUUCAAAGACAAACACCGCCUACUACUACUACUACACUCACGUGGACUGGCUGAGGUCAAAUUUAAAACCAUGAACUUUUCCAGUCUCUGAAGAGCACUACUGCUGACCAUUUCUGCAGGCGCAAAAUCAUCACCAAGAAGAAUAAACGUGCUUUGGAAGACAAUUUCUUGCGACCUCUUAUGGUGGAAGUGAUGCGACCUCUUGUGAUGACAAUGACAAAAUUGGAAAGUAGGGUGCAAGAUCAGCAGAAGUCACUAGAAAUAAUGAUAGGUACCAUCGAACAUUUGAAACAAACUCAUGCUGCUGCACCCACUGGACCUGAUUUAUCCCUGCUGGAGGGAUUGCUACCAAUACAAAGAUAUGUAGACUUUGAGGACUUUGAACAACAGAUAAAUGGGGACAGUCCCCUUAGAAAGUCACUGGUACAUAGACUCUAGAUUCUUGGGGGAGCAACCGUCAGCAGUCAAAACCAUGACUGACUUCUGCAUGACGAGUGGACUCCAGUAUGAGUUCAACUGGGAAGGUCGUCUUGGCUGGAAGACGAAAACAAAAACAUGCAAGAAAGGGUUCAAGAACACGACAUUGUGUGGAAUUAUAAUAAAUAUUCUGAUGAACAAGACACAAUUAUCAACUGAUGAAACUGAAGUAGGGAAAAAAACUGAUGAUGAUUUAUCUACGAAAUGCAUGUGACAGAUACUUGGGAAGGAAAAGACCAAAAGACUUGCGCAGUCAGCAAAGUCAAGAUAGAAUCCCAAUUCAUCUCAACCUAAUUCUGGUGGGGAUCCUGAAGGAAUAUGAUAUAGAGCACUUCUGCUGA